GUGCCAGCCGCCGCGGUAAUACGGAGGAUGCAAGCGUUAUCCGGAUUCAUUGGGUUUAAAGGGUCCGCAGGCGGAACUGUAAGUCAGGGGUGAAAUCCUACGGCUCAACCGUAGAACUGCCCUUGAUACUGCUGUUCUAGAGUACAGUUGAGGUGGGCGGAAUGUGUCAUGUAGCGGUGAAAUGCAUAGAUAUGACACAGAACACCGAUCGCGAAGGCAGCUCACCAAGCUGUAACUGACGCUCAGGGACGAAAGCGUGGGGAUCAAACAGGAUUAGAAACCCCUGUAGUCC
rnacentral:rRNA from 1 species